rnacentral:rRNA from 1 species
UGGGGAAUAUUGGACAAUGGGCGAAAGCCUGAUCCAGCAAUGCCGCGUGAGUGAUGAAGGCCUUAGGGUUGUAAAGCUCUUUUACCCGGGAUGAUAAUGACAGUACCGGGAGAAUAAGCCCCGGCUAACUCCGUGCCAGCAGCCGCGGUAAUACGGAGGGGGCUAGCGUUGUUCGGAAUUACUGGGCGUAAAGCGCGCGUAGGCGGUUUUUUAAGUCAGAGGUGAAAGCCCAGUGCUCAACACUGGAACUGCCUUUGAAACUGGAAAACUUGAAUCUUGGAGAGGUCAGUGGAAUUCCGAGUGUAGAGGUGAAAUUCGUAGAUAUUCGGAAGAACACCAGUGGCGAAGGCGACUGACUGGACAAGUAUUGACGCUGAGGUGCGAAAGCGUGGGGAGCAAACA